GCCGGGGAUUUAGCUCAGUGGUGCCACUGCCUGCCUCACAAGCACAAAGCAAGGUCCCAAGUUCAAUCCCCAGUACCAAAACAAAACAAACACAAAACAUUAGCUAAAGUUAUAUGAAAUAUUUAAUGAUUUCUAGCAGCUUAAAAGUGCUUUGAGGGCUGGGGAUUUAGCUCAGUGAUGCCGCCCCCUGCCUCGCAAGUGCAUGGUCCUGAGUUCAAUCCCUGGUACAAAAAAAAAACGCCAAAAACAAAAACAAAAAAAGUUCUUUGAAAUCUGGAAUGGGCUAUAUAAACAAAAAGUUUAAUAACUAUGUUGAUAGUCUUUUCAGGCCUGCUCUAUUAGUAUUUGAUAGGAUUCAUAAUCUCAAAUCUUGUUCAGUAGUUCACCAAGUUUUUUGGUUUUCUUCAUUUGUUCUGCUUUGUGAUUUUCUUCAGGAACAAUAUGAACUGGUCUACAGUGCUGUAUUAGAACUUUUUAAGAGACAUAUGGAUGUUAUUGGAGAUAAACAGUCUGGAAGAAAGAUUCAAGCAAAGUACUCAAUUCCUGAGCAAAAUCCUACUCCACAAGCAGAUUUUUGUUCUCCUAAUUUACCAAAAGGCUCCAUAAAAGAAGCAAAAAUGAUGAACCAACAGAGCAAACAAAAGUUGAAGGCGGAAAACGCAGAAACUUCUUCCUUUAACUUUAGGACUUCUAAAAUAAGUGCAAAAGUUUUGCACCCUGCUAAAUCAAGCCCAUCUUUUGACUUUUUGGAGCUAAAUUACAGUUGUAACAAAAAUGUUGACAUAACCAAGAAAUGGCAGACAAAGACAUUAUCAACAGUUGGAGAACCUCUUCAGAAGCACAAAAGUUUGGACUUCAGUUCCAUUCUGUUGGGGGCAUGUCCUAAUUCUCAAUCUAUAAAUGCAGCAGGCACAUGUUUUAAUUCAAGGGGGCCAAUAACACGAACCAAAUCAACUCCCUUUGGAUUGAUACAGCAGAGACAAACCGAGGCGUUGGACAUCAAGGAAAAUUUUUCAUGUUUGGAAUCUCAACCACAUGAUUCUUAUCUUGUGGAGUUCCAGGCUAAGAAAGUCAUGCAUGCUUCUUCAGAAGAACUGAAUUAUUCACUGCCUUCUGACUCUAACCACCAAACGUGUGAUGACUUUGAUGUAAAGCAGCAUGGCUCCAGUGCUUUGAGUGUGUAUUCUUGCAUGUCUUUAGUAGAAGAUCCUUAUUUUUUAUCAUUGCUUCCAAGUAGUGCUGAUUCUAAGAUGUCUCUUGAUUUACCUGAGAAGCAAGAUGGAACUGUUUUUCCUCACUCUUCGUUGCCAGCAUCCUCUACAACCCUCUUUUCUUAUUACAACUCAAAUGAUUCUCUAGCAUUAAAUCCUCUGACCAGUUUUUCCUCACGACUGAACCAAGAGACAGCUGUAGUGGCAACGUCUACAAAGAUAGAUGAUGAAAUCCCCCCUCCACUUCCUGAACGAACACCUGAAUCUUUUAUUGUGGUAGAGGAAGCGGGUGAAUUAUCAACAAGUGCACCCAAAUCCUUAUCUUCACCUGUGAAGGUGAAAAUUGGAACAUCGCUGGAAUGGAGUGGAACAUCUGAAUCAAAGACAUUUGAUAAGCCUGUGAGACUUAGGCCAAGCAAGAGUGUAAAACUCCGGAGUUCCAAAGCAGCUUCACGUCAAGAUUCAUCUCCUUCUCCACCUCCACUCCCAGAAAGAACCUUAGAGCCCUUCUUUCUUCCUAAUGGAGAUUGUAUGCAGACCCAAUCUACAGAAACUUAUUCAACUAGCUGUCCUGAAACCACGGAAAAUUCAACAUCUUCAAAACAAACAGUGAAGACUACUGGAAAAAGUUUCACAAGGAAUAAGGUAAGAAACCAAAGAUUUAGAAAAUAUGCCAGAAGCGUUUCUUACUGAAGAUUUUUUUCCCUCCUCAGGAUUAAGAUAGGAAAUUAGAGUAAAUAUCUUUACUCAAAUGAAUUGAUGAUCUCACAACAAUCAA
rnacentral:lncRNA from 1 species